rnacentral:lncRNA from 1 species
GUACCUCUGAAGCUGUUUGGUUGAAAACGACAACAUUGUGUAGAAUGAAUGAAUUAAGGAUAACACUGAACCUAUGUACAGCGAGAAAUGUUCCCUCUCUCUAUUAUUUAGGAUUCAUUCGUUUAAUGUUUAUGUUGGUGGAAGAUUUGGGUUAUAGGGAGUUAACAUAUAUGAGUAUAGUAGUUAAUAAUAGUUAAUCAGACACGUGUAGAAGCAAUGGAAAGAAAAAUGGGCUUCUUCAUAUUGGGAUUCAAGUUCAAAUGUACUAUUGGGAGAAGAUGGUGAACAAAAGGAUGACUCGGUGGUGGUGAAUCCACCGCCUAAUUACUCUGUCUGACCGCAGGUUUGUUGCACACUGAAGUCUUGGCGGCACAUCGUACUUGAACUUUGUCCCCAAUCUCGUCGCAGUUCAUGUGUGCAACCAUGACAUGAAUUUUAU